rnacentral:rRNA from 1 species
AUACGGAGGGGGUUAGCGUCGUUCGGAAUUACUGGGCGUAAAGCGUACGUAGGCGGACUGGAAAGUUGGGGGUGAAAUCCCGGGGCUCAACCCCGGAACUGCCUCCAAAACUUCCAAUCUAGAGAUCGAGAGAGGUGAGUGGAAUUCCAAGUGUAGAGGUGAAAUUCGUAGAUAUUUGGAGGAACACCAGUGGCGAAGGCGGCUCACUGGCUCGAUACUGACGCUGAGGUACGAAAGCGUGGGGAGCAAACAGGAUUAGAAACCCUAGUAGUCC